GAAAAGGCCACUGGGUGAGAGGCCACAGCCAGCCCUGAUCCUGGGGCCUGGCCCCUCUCUCCUGGGCGAAGCAGCAUCCAUCGGGCUCUCCCCACAGCUGCUCCCUUGUGUGCGGGCUCCAGGCCUCUGGAACCCAGAAGAACGGGGCGCAGAGACGACCAGGCUGAUGGCGCCAGGUCCUCGUCCGGCCUUGGCCACACUGGUUCCCACCUGCGUUAGAGGGUCCCGUCUGGCAUCCUUGGCCAUUGGUUACUUGUGGAGACUAUUUCAAUUAGCUCGUUUGUGUCUCCCAGUUAAUAACGGAGAACGGCAAUGGAGCAGAGGAAAUGAGAGAUGGCAGUCACUGCUCAGCAGUGACCCGCAGGGCGUGGACGAAGGAGGAAGGCACCGGAUAUUGUCACAGAGCCUCAUGUCUCUGAUGACUUCUGGACCACUCGGGGGCAUGUGGUUUCUCAGUGGCAGGUGGGACCAUCCCAUCUGUCCUGCCACCCUCGCCUGGCUGACCACAGCCUCCUGUGUCCCCUUCGUUUUGACCUCACGCGGUCCCCACCAGGAGGGCACUGCCUCCUCUGGUACAGUGGAGGAGACUGAGGCUCCAAGGACAGUCCCACCCAGGGUCGCAUGGCGCUGUGCGGUCCAGCGGGUCUCUCAUUGGCCUCCUGACCCUCCAGGCCUGGCUGCCGUGGGCCCUAAAUUCAAUCACAGGAACGAAGCACUUCGAAAUGCACAAGCUGUAAGGCUCCUGUCUCCCCGUCUGGACCGUGAAGACUUGCUGGAUGGGCUGUCUUCUCAGGAAGGCAGGAAGAGCCUCCUGGGUUCUCUGGAGGGGAGCCACCCAGCCCCUCUCCCCUCCUCUCGCAGGUCCUCCGUCGCUCUGCCUCCGGGCUCCGUCCAGGCACCUGCCAUGCGCCCUCUUGCCCACCAUUCUCUAAGCAUCUGGGCGCAAAACCAGCCUGGGAGGUCUGCCUGGCGCUGUGCCAGCCCUGGAGACACACGGACCCCAACCCCUCACGUGCUCUCUUGCCCGAGGAGGGGGCGGCCGCUGCCAGGUUGCCCUUCUGCUUCAACAGCCUUGCGAACUUGCCUCCCUCCAUGGUCCCUGGCUCCUAACAAGGCUGCGUUUGUCUUGUAGUUGAAAUUCCACUAAUUUUUCUCUGCCUUUGCAUUAAUGAUUCCUCUUUAAACAUCAAAGGGAGCCGUAGGACGAUUUUACUCCCAGCCAUUUCGGAUGAGAGGUGCCUGAUGAUUAUCCGCCGCUCCAAUGACAGGCUGCGCUCUCCUCGGAUUCCCAAGAUUACAAAAGGAAAUUCAGCUAAUUAUAGUCUGAUAGAAAUUACAGUCCUGCCGAUUCCUGAUUGACUUGGUGGCUUGGCAUGAAUCAUUGUGUUCUUUGAUAAGAUUUUAUUAAUCGGGCAGGAAUCUCACGAGGUCCCUCCUGGCAGGAGAAUUUCUUUUGUGUACCUCUCCCACAAACAACUUGCCCGUGUUAUGCCCGCAAGCCAUGGAGGGGCUGGAUUAUGGGGAUGGGGAAGCAAGAACAGAGGCCUGGAGUCAGGAAUCCUGGGUUUCUGCGUAGCCAGGAACCUGCUGUGUGACCUUUGGCAGACCUCUUGCCUCUCUGGGCCUUCUUUGCUUCAUCGGAAGGGAGGCAGUGUGGUACAGCGGUUAAGAACAGGGGCUCUGGGCUCAGACUGCCCCUUUCUAGCUGUGUGUCCUUGGGCAACUUCUUUGAGCCUCAGUUUCUUCAUCCGUAAAAUGGGGAUGCUGGUAAUAAGAACUCACAAGGUUCUUCUAAGAAUUAAAUGAGCUAAUAUAUGUGGGCUGACGAAGCUGUAUAAUACACGUAAAUCAGCUGGCAUGCAAGGAGAGCUCCAAAGGUACCAGCUGUGUUCUUAUUAAAGUGGCCACGGGCAGGAGUCGAGAUGACGUCUACAGACCCGUGCAGACAGAGAUCCCCGAGCCGUGAGGGAGGCGGGGUCCCCGUUCGCAGGUGGGAAAACUGAGACUCAGGGAGGCCCUGGGAAGUACAGACAGUCACGCAGGGAACAGGAGGCCCGCGAGAGAUCCUGCCGCUCUCCUUCCUGAAACCGCCCGGCGGCCUCUCCACGCGGAACUUAGCCAGAAGGAACAUGCGAUCUUCGAAAGGGCGUUGGCUCUGCGGGAUGCUGGGCCCGUGGCCGCACACGUCACCGAGGCCCUCCUGCCCCAUGGUGGUCCAGGAGCAGGGAGUUGAUGGGCGUAUUGAGAGCGUCUGGGUUGGAGGCUGGGGGUGAAGGAACCGCGAGCACCUGCCAACUUGCUUAGGCCUGAAAAGGACCCGGACCAGCGGGAGGGCGGUUUACUGUCAUGCCAAUAGUUUCCGCCCCUGGGCCUUUGCCGAGGCCUGGUCCUGGGCGUCCCUAUGUGUCUAAAUGGCAGAAGUGAGAUAUUUUAACUGCGAUUGCCAUCGCUGUCCCCAUUCCCACUUUCUCUGUCCGCCCUGCCCUUGCCUUGGGCCGCCUUGGAAUGGCUGUCGACGCAUUUGGGAUUCAGUUAAGGAGAAAUGGAGUUGGGGAUCCCUUUGGUUUGAUGUAUGAGAUGCAUUUCUAGAGUCUGGAGACGCGUCUGCAGACAGGUGAGUCGGGGCCGGCUGUCCUGGUGCAGGAAGGGCGUCGGGGUCCCCUGCCCCUCUCGGAACUGAGCCAGCACUGCGCACCCUCGGGGAGGGUGCUGCAGUAUACGACGCUGCGCAGUGUAGACGGCAGUGUAGACGGCAGUGGAGGGGAAGGAGGCUUCAAGGUAGGCAGCUGGAACUGGAAUUCUCCAGUCCAGGGAGGGGUGCGAGAUCUCACAGACGCCGUUAGUCGAUGAGGAAGCUGUCUUUUCAGGAACACACCCAACAACACCGGCAGGGCCACGGAGGGCCCGAGACGGAGGGGCUCGCCCGGAGGCACAGAUCCAGCGACCGGCGGGACCACCGGGGCCCCCAGUCUCCCCUACUCCCGCCACACGGUGGGCUCGGGAUUGGGGUCACCCUACGACUUCCCGAGCGGAGAAAUGUGUCAAAAUGAAAACUGCUGAGUGUCAGAAUCCUCCUCCACAAACCAUCCGUGUGUUUGUCUCCAGAAUGUUCUUCCUUCCCUUCCCAG
rnacentral:lncRNA from 1 species